UACGAGGGGGGCAAGCGUUGUUCGGAUUUAUUGGGCGUAAAGAGCUCGUAGGCGGUUUGUCGCGUCGGCUGUGAAAUCCCGAGGCUCAACCUCGGGCCUGCAGUCGAUACGGGCAAACUAGAGUGUGGUAGGGGAGACUGGAAUUCCUGGUGUAGCGGUGAAAUGCGCAGAUAUCAGGAGGAACACCGGCGGCGAAGGCGGGUCUCUGGGCCAUAACUGACGCUGAGGAGCGAAAGCGUGGGGAGCGAACAGG
rnacentral:rRNA from 1 species